AGGGAUUGAGAUGAAGAUACGGAUUGGAUUAGAUUGGAGUUUUUAAAAAGAAGAUAAAAAAAAGUAAAAAUAAAUUUAGAAUUACAAUGUGCAUUGGUAAAAGUAACUGAAUAAAUGUGUAUGGUUUAGGGUUCUUCUUUCUACAAAGAAUUAUAAAAAAGUAUUGCUAUUCUCUCAUUAUUUUAAUCAUGAAAUACCCUACUUUUUCACUCUAUAUAAACCCCCAACAUCCCUUCAUUUCUUCACACACCAAAUCUUUUGUAUUUCAAACUAUCUGGUCGCUCCAAAUUAGGGUUUUCUUUUUUGUUUUUCUAGGUUUUUGCUGUUCUUGACGAUGAUGAUGGAACAUGAAGAAUCUUUGAAAUGGGUACACUGCACCACAUCUGUUAUUUAGGUUGAAGGGUAAGGGAGGUGACAGAAGAGAGUGAGCACACAUGGCACUUUCUUGCAUGAAUUCAUGCUUGAAGCUCUGUGUGCUCACUUUCUAUCUGUCACCCCGCCGCUUAAUUCUCUCUUUUCAUCUAUAUUUUACUGUUAAGUUAAUCUUUUUUUUCUGUUUUUCCUGCUAUUUUUGAGAUUAUUUUGUCACUUAAAUUUAGAAUAAAAACGAGCAAUUCUCUUCUGUUUUGAUGUUUAUAGUUUAGGGGUUUAGGAAAAAAAGCAAUUUUAUGUGAUUGAUCACUGACAAUUUUGGUUCUUGUACUUGUGUUCUAUAAUCGUACUUGUUGUCAUGAUUAUUAGAAAGGUUUGUACUUCGAUCAGUACAUUUAUUUCAUACCUUAAAUAGAAAAAGUUGAUUUUCUAGUUUUUUAGCUUAUAGUUGUUCUUUCCAGAUCUUCAUUCUUGUUAAUCUCAACCUACGAGUGUUAUGUUUUGUCCUUUUGUUUCUAUUUUUGGAAAAAAAACUUAAAAGCUACAAAAUUUUACAUUUAUGAUCAAUUCAUAUAAAAUUCAUUAUUUCACUGUUUUUUUUAUUUAAGUUUCUUAUAUGAAUUUUCCAUUAUAUAUGUUCUUUAAUCAAUUAAUUCAACUAAUAUUUGUAUAUGAUAGAUCUGAUUUUAUGUUGCAUGUGUUCAUAACUACCAGAGUAUUUAAAUAUUCUUCUCUCAUUUAAUAUAAACUAUAGCAUAAUUUUAUUAUUAUUUAUAGAUCAUGAGCAAAUCUUAUUGGUUCUUGAGUGAAUAUUUAUAUUAUAGCUAGCCUGGUCCUGCAGAAAGGAAACAUGAUUUUCUGAUGAGCAACCAGCUGAAAAAGAUUGCAAAGCAAGUAGUACAAGAACAAAAUAAGUUGAAAGCAGAUUUUGGUCUCAAAUUUCAGCUGUGAUCGAUAUACCAAUUUCUAUUUGUACAUCUAAUGUGGACCGAAAUUGAAAUUCGUAGAGUUUGGUGAUCCGAAAAUCAUGAGAUUUGUGGAACGAAAUUGAAACUCGGAGAGUUUGGUGAUCGAAGGUCCUAAAGUCAUGAACAAUGAGUAGUUAUUAGUUCAUUAGCUAUUGCACUAGGUUUCCUUAUUUUACCUGCUGCUGCUGUAUAUGCAAAAAAUCUCUCUAUAUAUUUAUUAUUUUUGUCUCUUGUAAUGCUAAGCUACAAUUCAUACAUAUGAUUGUUUUUUUUA